UACGUAGGUCCCGAGCGUUGUCCGGAUUUAUUGGGCGUAAAGCGAGCGCAGGUGGUUUAUUAAGUCUGGUGUAAAAGGCAGUGGCUCAACCAUUGUAUGCAUUGGAAACUGGUAGACUUGAGUGCAGGAGAGGAGAGUGGAAUUCCAUGUGUGGCGGUAAAAUGCGUAGAUAUAUGGAGGAACACCGGUGGCGAAAGCGGCUCUCUGGCCUGUAACUGACACUGAGGCUCGAAAGCGUGGGGAGCAAACAGG
rnacentral:rRNA from 1 species